rnacentral:lncRNA from 1 species
AAACAUGAACACCAUUAUUCUUGUUCCAUUUGCCCUUCAAAAUUCACAGAAAAAUGGAGCCUUGAUGACCACCAGCAAGGACAUGUCAACCCAUUAAUAUGUGAUAUCUGUGGGAAACAUUUCACAUCGAGGUUUGGAUUAAGACGACAUAUGAAGGUUCAGUAUGGAUCCUCUAAAUUCUUUAGGUGCGAAAUUUGCAAUGUAAAUUUCUUUAAUAAAGCCGACCAUGA